GACGAACGCUGGCGGCGUGCCUAAUACAUGCAAGUCGAACGAACUCUGGUAUUGAUUGGUGCUUGCAUCAUGAUUUACAUUUGAGUGAGUGGCGAACUGGUGAGUAACACGUGGGAAACCUGCCCAGAAGCGGGGGAUAACACCUGGAAACAGAUGCUAAUACCGCAUAACAACUUGGACCGCAUGGUCCGAGUUUGAAAGAUGGCUUCGGCUAUCACUUUUGGAUGGUCCCGCGGCGUAUUAGCUAGAUGGUGGGGUAACGGCUCACCAUGGCAAUGAUACGUAGCCGACCUGAGAGGGUAAUCGGCCACAUUGGGACUGAGACACGGCCCAAACUCCUACGGGAGGCAGCAGUAGGGAAUCUUCCACAAUGGACGAAAGUCUGAUGGAGCAACGCCGCGUGAGUGAAGAAGGGUUUUGGCUCGUAAAACUCUGUUGUUAAAGAAGAACAUAUCUGAGAGUAACUGUUCAGGUAUUGACGGUAUUUAACCAGAAAGCCACGGCUAACUACGUGCCAGCAGCCGCGGUAAUACGUAGGUGGCAAGCGUUGUCCGGAUUUAUUGGGCGUAAAGCGAGCGCAGGCGGUUUUUUAAGUCUGAUGUGAAAGCCUUCGGCUCAACCGAAGAAGUGCAUCGGAAACUGGGAAACUUGAGUGCAGAAGAGGACAGUGGAACUCCAUGUGUAGCGGUGAAAUGCGUAGAUAUAUGGAAGAACACCAGUGGCGAAGGCGGCUGUCUGGUCUGUAACUGACGCUGAGGCUCGAAAGUAUGGGUAGCAAACAGGAUUAGAUACCCUGGUAGUCCAUACCGUAAACGAUGAAUGCUAAGUGUUGGAGGGUUUCCGCCCUUCAGUGCUGCAGCUAACGCAUUAAGCAUUCCGCCUGGGGAGUACGGCCGCAAGGCUGAAACUCAAAGGAAUUGACGGGGGCCCGCACAAGCGGUGGAGCAUGUGGUUUAAUUCGAAGCUACGCGAAGAACCUUACCAGGUCUUGACAUACUAUGCAAAUUUAAGAGAUUAGACGUUCCCUUCGGGGACAUGGAUACAGGUGGUGCAUGGUUGUCGUCAGCUCGUGUCGUGAGAUGUUGGGUUAAGUCCCGCAACGAGCGCAACCCUUAUUAUCAGUUGCCAGCAUUAAGUUGGGCACUCUGGUGAGACUGCCGGUGACAAACCGGAGGAAGGUGGGGAUGACGUCAAAUCAUCAUGCCCCUUAUGACCUGGGCUACACACGUGCUACAAUGGAUGGUACAACGAGUUGCGAACUCGCGAGAGUAAGCUAAUCUCUUAAAGCCAUUCUCAGUUCGGAUUGUAGGCUGCAACUCGCCUACAUGAAGUCGGAAUCGCUAGUAAUCGCGGAUCAGCAUGCCGCGGUGAAUACGUUCCCGGGCCUUGUACACACCGCCCGUCACACCAUGAGAGUUUGUAACACCCAAAGUCGGUGGGGUAACCUUUUAGGAACCAGCCGCCUAAGGUGGGACAGAUGAUUAGGGUGAAGUCGUAACAAGGUAGCCGUAG
rnacentral:rRNA from 1 species